rnacentral:rRNA from 1 species
UGCGCAAGUCAUUGGGACUAUACGAAACCUAAAGGCGUAAUGAAAGUGAAUGGUCGGCUUGCCCGUCCAGAGGGAGGAUGGGGCGCGUCGCGGCGCGCCCUCGCACUCCCGGGGCGUCUCGUUCUCAUUGCGAGAUGAGGCGCACCCAGAGCGUACACGCUGGGACCCGAAAGAUGGUGAACUAUGCCUGGUCAGGACGAAGUCAGGGGAAACCCUGAUGGAGGUCCGUAGCGAUUCUGACGUGCAAAUCGAUCGUCGGAACUGGGUAUAGGGGCGAAAGACUAAUCGAACCAUCUAGUAGCUGGUUCCCUCCGAAGUUUCCCUCAGGAUAGCUGGCGCUCGUUUUUACGAGUUUCAUCCGGUAAAGCGAAUGAUUAGAGGCCUUGGGGUCGAAACGACCUCAACCUAUUCUCAAACUUUAAAUGGGUGAGAUCUCCGGCUUGCUUGAUAGUUGAAGCCGUGUGACUCUAGAA